rnacentral:lncRNA from 1 species
CCGGGGUCAACUAACUCUUUAAUAAGGUCUAUCAUUGAGUCCAUUCCUUCUUCAUCAAUAUUCCAAUUAGAUUUAAUACUUAAUAAUCUAACAGCAACAGACAAACGAGAGUGCGAACACCCGUCAAAUAAAGAAUGACUAGCAGUAUGCAAUUCUUUAUAGAGAUUUCCCACUUCGCUAUUAGGAACAUCUUCAACAAUUUUCCUAAAAUCAACCCCGUGUUGCAUCCCAAAAGCAUCCUACACCAUUUCUGUCAUCCUAGUAUCUUGAUAUUCAUUAUGCCCUGC